UACAGAGGGUGCAAACGUUGUUCGGAAUCACUGGGCUUAAAGCGUGUGUAGGCGGAUCGUUAAGUACCUUGUGAAAUCCCACGGCUCAACCGUGGAACUGCUGGGUAUACUGGCGGUCUUGAGCCACCUAGGGGCGAGCGGAACAAGCGGUGGAGCGGUGAAAUGCGUAGAUAUCGCUUGGAACGCCAACGGUGAAAACAGCUCGCUGGGGGUGUGCUGACGCUGAGACACGAAAGCCAGGGGAGCGAACGGG
rnacentral:rRNA from 1 species